rnacentral:rRNA from 1 species
CAAUGCCGCGUGUGUGAAGAAGGCCCUCGGGUUGUAAAGCACUUUCAGUGAGGAAGAAUGCUUGUCGGUUAAUACCCGGCAAGGGAGACAUCACUCACAGAAGAAGCACCGGCUAACUCCGUGCCAGCAGCCGCGGUAAUACGGAGGGUGCGAGCGUUAAUCGGAAUUACUGGGCGUAAAGCGUGCGUAGGCGGCUUGGUAAGCCGGUUGUGAAAGCCCCGGGCUCAACCUGGGAACGGCAUCCGGAACUGUCAGGCUAGAGUGCAGGAGAGGAAGGUAGAAUUCCCGGUGUAGCGGUGAAAUGCGUAGAGAUCGGGAGGAAUACCAGUGGCGAAGGCGGCCUUCUGGACUGACACUGACGCUGAGGUACGAAAGCGUGGGUAGCAAACAGGAUUAGAUACCCUGGUAGUCCACGCCGUAAACGAUGUCGACUAGCCGUUGGGGUCCUCGAGACCUUUGUGGCGCAGUUAACGCACUAAGUUGACCGCCUGGGGAGU